CCCGAUUACGGGUAAACAUUCACGGAGAGUUUGAUCCUGGCUCAGGACGAACGCUGGCGGCGUGCUUAACACAUGCAAGUCGAACGAUGAAGCCCUUCGGGGUGGAUUAGUGGCGAACGGGUGAGUAACACGUGGGCAAUCUGCCCUUCACUCUGGGACAAGCCCUGGAAACGGGGUCUAAUACCGGAUAACACCGGCUUCCGCAUGGGGGCUGGUUGAAAGCUCCGGCGGUGAAGGAUGAGCCCGCGGCCUAUCAGCUUUGUUGGUGGGGUAAUGGCCUACCAAGG
rnacentral:rRNA from 1 species